rnacentral:rRNA from 1 species
UACAGAGGUCCCAAGCGUUGUUCGGAUUCAUUGGGCGUAAAGGGUGCGUAGGUGGCGCUGUAAGUCGGGUGUGAAAUUUCGGAGCUUAACUCCGAAACUGCAUUCGAUACUGCGGUGCUCGAGGACUGGAGAGGAGACUGGAAUUCAUGGUGUAGCAGUGAAAUGCGUAGAGAUCAUGAGGAAGACCAGUGGCGAAGGCGGGUCUCUGGACAGUUCCUGACACUGAGGCGCGAAAGCCAGGGGAGCAAACAGG